rnacentral:lncRNA from 1 species
GCAGCUGGCAGGAGAGGACGACAAUGUGGCCGCAUGCAUCUCCAUUCUCCCGUUGGCAACAGAAUUGAAGCUCACAUGAAACAGCUUGGGGAAUGAGCCCAUGGCCCAGCAAGCAGACUUGGCACUCUUUUCCUUCCCACUCCCACCCCAGCCCCUGACUUGACAACAAAAACUGAAGCGGGUGUAUGUACCAUUUCUAAGAAUAUAAACUUUAAAAAAAAUGAUUAUUUAAUGAUGUGGCUAUUUUGAACUAUGAUUAACGUAAGUACAUUUAAGGUACAACAUUGGCAAGUUAGGAAACCACCAAGUAAGGCCAGAUGUAUCAACUGACUUGAUGUUUUAAUUUAAAACACCAGCAACAACUCGAAAGGACUGUUAAUAUGAGACAAAUCAGAGAAAAAACUCACACAAGUUGUUUACCUGUUAUCUACGGUACCUAGAAGUCAUUGCCUUUUAUAA